ACGUCAAAAUUGCAAUGGGGAGCUGGUUUGCUCUCGUGCCAGGAGAGCUUGUCCGAUAAACUACAUCAAUAUCCAAUGAGACUGCGUGUCGAUGUAAACAAAAAACAUCAGUUUCCAUGAUUUCUCUGAGCUUAUGGUCAAGUGUUUACUGCGUUGUAGUGUGGUGUAACGAAUUGUUCCAGUCCUGAAAACGAAAGAAAUAUAUUUCUUUUAAUGUGUACAACAUGUGUUUAAUGUGUACAACUUUAUUUACUUUAUCCUAUAGAAAAUUCCCUCCAAAGUAAUCUACAGCAACAGAGUGCAGUACAAUACCACAAGUUUUCCAGCCAAAUGCGAUAGAAGCUCAACUAUUCGAAGCAGGAGACCGAAGAGAAAAAAGGAAGAGAGAUGAUAUUACAGCUGCAGAAAAGGAAAUAAUUGAAAAACGCAGAAGAAUAUAUUAAUGUACUGUGUGAAAUAUGUGACUUGUAUAAGCAAUCAGUUGCAAAUCAGUCUGCUGUCAUAGAAAAUCAAAAUAUAAUUAUUAAUUUAUUAAAAAAAUAAAUCAUGCAUUUCAAAUAUUA